GAUGAAGAACGUAGCGAAAUGCGAUAAGUAAUGUGAAUUGCAGAAUUCAGUGAAUCAUCGAAUCUUUGAACGCACCUUGCGCCCUUUGGCCAUUCCGAAGGGCAUGCCUGUUUGAGUAUCAUGAACACCUCAACUCCUCAUGGUCUUCUAUGAUGAGCUUGGACUUUGGGGGCUUGCUGGCCCAUUUGGUCAGCUCCUCUCAAAUGAAUCAGCCUACCAGUGUUUGGUGGCACCACAGGUGUGAUAACAAUAUACGCUUGAGGUUUUCCACCAGGCAACCUUCAGUAAUUGGGGUUCACUGGGGCUCACAAAUGUCUUUCUUCAGUGAGGACAGCUCUUUGAAUGUUUGAUCUCAUAUCAGGUAGGACUACCCGCUGAACUUAAGCAUAUCAAUAAGCGGAGGA
rnacentral:misc_RNA from 1 species